UUCUUAUUGGAUGACGAGUGCCACGUGUCAUGUUCUGAUUGAAUGCCAACUCCAUGAAAGAUGAAAUGCAUUGUUGUUUUCAUUGACCAAUCAUAACAUAAUAUGUGACAGUCGUCAUCC
rfam:Glycine soja cultivar W05 scaffold622_20, whole genome shotgun sequence.